rfam:Echinostoma caproni strain Egypt genome assembly, scaffold: ECPE_contig0000835
AGCCUCGUAGCUCAGCUGAUAGAGCGUGCGCUGUACAAAAGCGUAGGCGGCUUCCAUGUGUGCGUUCGAAUCCCACCGAGGCUA